rnacentral:tRNA from 1 species
UGUGGCUUCAUGGUAGAGUGCCUGCCUAAUAUGCAUGAGACUCUGGGUUCUAUCCCCAGCA